rnacentral:rRNA from 1 species
UACGUAGGCAGCAAGCGUUGUUCGGAGUUACUGGGCGUAAAGGGUGUGUAGGCGGUUCUUUAAGUUUGGUGUGAAAUCUCCCGGCUCAACCGGGAGGGUGCGCCGAAUACUGAGGGACUAGAGUGCGGGAGAGGAAAGUGGAAUUCCUGGUGUAGCGGUGAAAUGCGUAGAUAUCAGGAGGAACACCGGUGGUGUAGACGGCUUUCUGGACCGUAACUGACGCUGAAACACGAAAGCGUGGGUAGUAAACAGG